rnacentral:rRNA from 1 species
AGUGAACGCUGGCGGUAGGCCUAACACAUGCAAGUCGAACGGCAGCACAGUAAGAGCUUGCUCUUACGGGUGGCGAGUGGCGUACGGGUGAGGAAUACAUCGGAAUCUACUUUUUCGUGGGGGAUAACGUAGGGAAACUUACGCUAAUACCGCAUACGACCUACGGGUGAAAGCAGUGGAUCUUCGGACCUUGCUCGAUUGAAUGAGCCGAUGUCGGAUUAGCUAGUUGGCGGGGUAAAGGCCCACCAAGGCGACGAUCCGUAGCUGGUCUGAGAGGAUGAUCAGCCACACUGGAACUGAGACACGGUCAAGACUCCUACGGGAGGCAGCAGUGGGGAAUAUUGGACAAUGGGCGCAAGCAUGAUCCAGCCAUACCGCGUGGGUGAAGAAGGACUUCGGGUUGUAAAGACCUUUUGUUGGGAAAGAAAAGCAGCAGGUUAAUACCCCGCUGUUCUGACGGUACCCAAAGAAUAAGCACCGGCUAACUUCGUG